AAAACUUUUUGUAAAGACUAUUAAUUUCACCAUAAUUACCACAAGGAAUAAUCAAAAAGGAAUUAUGGUAUAAU
ncrna:unclassified sequences dfrA-dnaX RNA